AGGAUAAACGCUGGCGGCGUGCCUAACACAUGCAAGUCGAACGUCCUACGCAAGUAGGGAGUGGCGGACGGGUGAGUAACACGUGGGCAAUCUACCUUUCGGUGAGGAAUACCGGCGAGAAAUCGCCGACAAAUACCGCAUACGUUUCGCAAGAAACAAAGUCGCAAGACGCCGGAGGAGGAGCCUGCGCCCGAUUAGCUGGUUGGUGAGGUAACAGCUCACCAAGGCUUCGAUCGGUAGC
rnacentral:rRNA from 1 species